CAAGUUCAGUUAACAAAUGCAAGCUCAUGGACUAUAUACAGAAGGAGGAAGUGGUUUCUUUAGGCCGAUGGCAGACUAAAGAACCAAAAUCAUUGGUGAAUGGACUUCCUCUUGGUCCUAAUGCAGUAAAAGUGUUUGUCGAUGAGGUACUAAACCCAACGGCAUUCAUAUGGAGGCCUACUGUAGGAAAGACAAAUAUGGAGGAUUUUCUGAACUGUUAUGUAGCAUGGCCUGCAAAUUGCGUUGUGUUUGAGCCAGAUAUAACAGAUUCUCCACGUCGUCAACAAUCAGAUUCUAAAGCAGUGAGUUCAUCUUCUAAGAAUCAGAAGUCUCCAUUAACUCCACCAGCUCCUAAGAAACCAUUUACUCCUGCAUCUCCUCUUCGCAGAUCUGAGCGUAACAAAUUCAAGCCAAAUAAAAAAAUCCAGCUGCUGGAUCUGUCUGGAAACAAGGUGAUCGUCGCUGAAGGACGUUGGUCUUCGAGUAAUCCUGAGCAUCUUGUCCAUUUUCAGCCUUUGGGGCUUGGUGCUUGUAGAGUCUUUGUGGAUGUUGUGAAGGUGAAAGAUGCAUCUGUGUGGAGGACUUCAUCUGAGAUUGAGUAUAUGGAAGAUGCACUUGGAAGCACUCUUGCUUGGCCAGAGGAUAAAAUUAUAACGGUGAGAGUUUUGUUUAUUUUUUUGUUCUUUCUCACUUGGAAGCACUCUUGCAUAAAUGUGAACCGAAGGUUAUGUCUUUCUUUUCAGCUUUGACAAAAGAGCAGAAGGAACCAGGCAACUAUUUAAGUUCUUGUUGACAUAAAUGACUUGGUGUUUGCUGUUUCAGAACAUGGCUUUUGUUUUUCAAUUACUCGGUGUUUCUCUUGUUUUCAUGUGUCGGAUGGAUUGAAAUGUUUGUAUGGUUUGAAUGAUUUACUUAAGUUAAGACUUUAUGUUAUUGUGUUUGAUCCAUUUUAUCAUUUCAGUUUUACAAAGGCCCAAUAAGAUAAAUGUCCAUAUCUAGUUUACAAAGAACAAAUCACUAUUCUUGGUUUAGGGCAAGGAUAGGGGUUAGGAUUCUCAUGUUUUUGUUAGUGAUUAGGUUUAGAGAUUUCUUUUAAGGUUUAUUCUAAUUAUAGUUUUGAGGUCUUUUUAAAGAAACUAUAACACACAUUAAGACAAAAUUAUAUGUUAAUCACAAAACACAUGAUGUAGUUCCCUUUCCACAUUAUCUUUCUUGUGAAAGGGUUAGCAUAUGUAGUGUUUAGUUUGAGGGUUAGGGUAUAUUGGUGUAGUUAAAGUGUUUAGUGGUUUAUAUAUUUAGAAAUUGAUGUCUAAACUUAGAUUUAUAUUUUAGAAUCAUGAUUAUAAUUUUUUACAAAUUUUAGAUAAUUUUAAAAAUAUUUAUAAAUAACCGGAAACAUAAUUUCUCUUCUUUUUUUAAUAGCCAUCGAUUGAUAUCUCAGAUCAAAGGCCCAUAAUCCACCAUCCAUCAGCUAUCCUCGUUCUCUCUUCCUAUUGGUUGAUUAUUUUAAGGCAAGGAUCAUAAUGUUGUCCGUUCGUAAAUGUUAAUCUAACGGUUCAGAAUUGUUUUUUCUUUUAUCUCCUUCCUUCUCUCUCAGAACGUACACCCACCGCAAACUAGGUUAGAGAGUUAUCUCAAACCACCACAAAUCUCUUUGUGACACCACGAGCCCACCUCGACCCACCACGAAUCACUGUCUACCCAUCACGAUUCCAUCUCAAACAACCAUGAUUCUCUCUUAAGCGACCUCGAUUUCUCUCUCUGGGUUUCCAUCGAACUCAUCCAUAUCAAAAGAUCCUUAUAGAUUCGAACCCUCACAGAUCUGGGUUGGGAACUUCUUCAAAGUCUAGAAACUCUAAUGGAAGGAAGGAAGAGCAUCGUAUGUGCACUGCCGGCAUCUGGAGUGAGACCACAACUACUCCAAAAACAAAAACCACAACAAGAAGCACUCAACAGAGAACAAGAACGAGGACAGUCCUCAGGAGGAAAUGAUAUGGAGGAGAUAACCAGAACAGAGUUCAGAACCUCUCUUGGCUACUUGACAUGCAUUGAGGAACCUGAAGAAGACAUCGACCCAAUGUUCAGAAACUCAUCUCUUUUCAGACGCCCACCACAAGCACAAGGACAGUCCUCGCGAACCAAGUCUGGCCGUCAUUACUAAUUGUUGUUUAUGUAUGUUGUUUAUGUAUGUGUUUUUUUGCUAUAUGAUGAAUCAAUUGUCAGCACAUUAUAGUGCUUUUUGCAUAUUUCUAGUCUGGUUACAAUUACUAAAAAUUCUAUUUUUUAAUUUUCUUUUUUUUUACAAUAUUUUCCAAUUCUAUAUCCCAUAAAAAAAACAAAAUUAGUAAAUCAAACCGAAAAAUGUGUCAAUAUAGAAAAUAUUAGCUAUUCAGUAUUACCUAGAAUAUAAACGUUAUAGCACAAGUAAAAUACUGUAUUAUAAUAUUCAAUGGCACAAAAGAAUUGCUAUUAAAUGUUCAAAAAUCCAAAAAAAAACUGAGUUACAAAAAGGUAUUCCAUGACAAAAAACAAAUGUCAUAACAAAAUAUUUUAUGGCACACGAAAAGUGCCACAUAAAAUAUUUAAAUAGCGAAAAUAAAUCGCUAUAAAUAGGUAUAAUAUAACACAGGACCAACGCUAAAAUAUCUGUAUAUUGUUACAGCACGCGAAAAACGCUACGCUAGGGGGGAGGUCUAUUAUAGCUGCGGCUGUCACGGCGUUCUUCGAAACGCUAUGAAAACGAUAUGAUAGCGUUUGUCGAGUGCUAUUAAUACCGAUAUUUCUUGUAGUGUGUGCUCAUAAUUGGCUCGACAGCUUUGAACAAUAUGACAAUGGUAAGUUAGUUUAGUAAUUAUAUUGUACAGAAACAGAGACUUCAUUCAUGAAAUAUUUUGCUGGUUUUGGACAAAAUCAGAGGUUGCUGAAUCUAGUAAUUAAGAGGAGAUUUUCCCUAUGUUUGUGACGUUUCAAUAGACGUGUAAGUGAUAGAUUAUUAUUUAUUUUCCUUCAUUUCAUUUAUUUUCUGAUCGUAUACUUAUCUAUUUUACCAUUUAGACAACUGAUCAACUUGAGGUCGUGGGAAGAACAAGAAGGAAGAUCUCUAUGUAAUUUGUUUUUAAGUUUGAUUUCAGUGUUGGAGGAGAACUUAUGUUUUUGUGUUGUUUGUUGUUCUUUAGAUCUUAAACUUAUGGUGUGGUGUUUGUUGAAACUUAAACUUAAGAUUUCUGUACCUUUUAUGUGUUUGUCAUUUUUUGCGAUUUGGCCAAUAAAGUUGUUCUUUUUUAAUUCAGGUGGGUUACCCGCUUGAUCCGGUUGAUUAGCGUGGGGCGGGUGCGGACAUCUUGUAUAACUCGUAGCGGGUCAGGCAGAGGCAACCCUAGCGCCGCACCAUUUAAGCUCGGUUGAAGGCUCCACUAUGUUGAAGGAGAAAUUCGACCAGCGAGUAGACGAUCACUACAUUCAAUUUCAAUAAGAAAAGAUGAUAUGGUUUUGAAAAAAUGUAACAUGGCAUUAACAUAAUUGUGACAUGCACAAUUUCAUUUAUAAAUUUUAUAUAUUUUUGG